CACCGAACCGCCCCUUAAUAUAGCAGAGGUCCACCCCAUAUAUCGAGCGUGAUGUUUUGUAUUUGAAUUUUUGGCGAGAAGUGUGUCAGCUGCUUUGCCGAUUUUUUGUAUAAUUUUAUGUUUAUAUGAAGUCUCUUUUAUUUGGUGAACUAAAUGGAUCGUAUUUUCGUAAUAAAGCUUAAUAUUUGGUGAGUGUUUUUAUAUAUUGUAGCGAUUUGUUUACCUUCAAUUGAUUGUGAUUUGUGAUAGAUUUGGUCGCAAAAUUAAUAUAGACAUCAUAGACCGAGCCAUAGACGCGUAUAAAGUCUAUUUAAUACCGACCAAAUCCUUCGUAUUACAGAUGAUAUUUUUCAUAAUAGUUUUCUAAAUGACAGUAUAUUUGUUAUUAUAUUUUAGACCAGAGUUUUGAGCGGAGAAUCUUGCUAUAUUAAGUAUGAUAUUCAAGUUAUGCAUCUUUAAUUUGUAAUAUACAGAAUACAGUAGACUGAAUUUCUGUCUUUUGUAUAAUCAUUCGGCCAGGCCGUAUAUCAUAAACAGUAAUCUAUCUAUCUAAAUGAAAAUGUUAUGCCAAUUCUUUGCCAAUAUUAAAACAUUUAUUAUACAAGGUUAAGGUUAUAUUUAAAAUCAAAAUGAGCACAAGCAAGGCAAAACUUGCUGAUCAAUUUAUAAUAUUAACCAAAUUAUCUGCCAAUGAUAAAGUCUGCCUAAUUGUCAAUUGUUAAAGCUGUUUAUAUCAACCCUGUUCGGCUUUAUAAUAAUUUUGUAUACAAAAUAAUUUCACUUCACAUGAAAACUGGGCUAGCAUGUUUAGCUGGUACCGGUAGCCUGGUAUCUCACUUUCAAGACUCGAACAGGGUUCCCGGUCAGCCGGUUGUCCAUGAUGUAAACUUUUCCCAAUAUUUGCUUGUGAACAUUUUUGCCUCCAGGGCAUACAUCUCAUUCCAGCUAGUAGCAAUUAUGUAAACAGCUGCAAUAUGCCCAAAUGCACCCUACUUUAAUAUUUUACUCUGUCUAAUGCCAGACAAUUUUACUCAUCAAACAAAUUAAUGAGUGAAUAUAUUUUUACAUGAACCUUGAACGCCUACUUUCAUAGAGUUCAGUUUCCUAGCCACAUGAGUAACUUUCUUUGAUGGGAUAGGGAUACCAUUUGUUUGUGUGAACCGAGUAUGUUAUUGUAUUUUUUAGUACCUGUGCAAUGCAUUUUAAUACCUUAACCCUUUAAGUGGCAAUGCGCCCUACUUUAUUAUUUUACUCUGUCUAACACCAGACUAGUUUAAUACUCUUUCUAAUGCCUGAUGACCUUACUCAUCAGGGGGAGAGUGCUGCCACUCAAUGGGUUAAACCUUUGUUUGGUCUGACUCCAUGAUGCAUUUUGACCUUACUAAACUCAAUUGAGUUUACAUCGGACAUUUGCAAAUACUUUUCUCAACCAUUACAAUGUUUUUUUUUUAUUAAAGGGGAAAAUAAACUAUUUAAUAGCCUCUAUCUGUACAUAUAAUAUGAUCUAAUUAUUAUGAUAUAAAUGAUCCAAUUAUUAUGCUAUUCCAUGCCUAUAUUAUUGACCGACAUUUUUAAUGAAUACCAGUGAGCUAAAACUUGCCUUGUGCCAAAGGGGUCUGCUUAUAGCCCCGAAACAUGUUUCCCCCAACAAUUUUUAAAAUUUUAAUACUCGUAAGAUAAUUUAUCUGACCGUGACUUUAAUCUUGAACUGUCUGUGCCAGUAGGUAGUGGCAAUAUAACCAAAGCUUUCAUUGGUAGGAAUGCAACUGGCUGAAAAUAUUAGGAGAAACUCAACGUUUUGAGCGAAUUAAGUCCUUCAUCGGAAGUUAGUCAAAGGCAACAAAGGGCCUUUGCUCAAAACAUUGAGUUUCUCCUAUACCAACGAAAACCUUGUUCAUGAAUCUGACUUCGCCAAGAUAUUGCUUUUUACCAAAUUACUGACAUCCAAUAUUGCAUUGCACUCUUGAUGUUAACACACUAAAUACUUAUCAGUUAUGUAAUUGUUUACAUAAAUACAUAAACAAAAUCCUGUAUAGAUAUGAUAUACUUUUGAAAUAAAUGUUUUCUGAUAUUGUUCUGGAGGUUAGCACUUGGCAUGUGGGCUGCAUUGUAGAAGUGCUGGACUUAGGAUUGCAGUUGCACUUUUUACAAUGAUUUUCAUAAUUUUUUCCCUCUCAAAAUCUGUCCAGGAAACUUCAUUAAUAGUUUUGUUACUAUUUUGUUUACAGUUGCAAAAAGUCCAACUAUAGGCCCUCUGGUAGGAAUGGAACCUGUAGCCCAUGAUGUUGCAGCUAUAGCUUGACAACUGAAACCCUCAACCUGAUGAGACAUCCAUGGUGGCAGAAAACCAAGUCUUGUGAGUCUUCGGGAUUGCUUGAUGCACUGGAAUCUAUGAUGCUGCUUUUUGCUGCUGAGUGUUUUAAUACAUUCUUAUUUCUACAAAGGCAAGUCAUGAAGGUGCACGGCACACAAAAGAUGCCGACCCAAGGUGUUGGUUCUAUUGUCAGACAUUGAAAAAAUGUGAACUUGCUAACUUCCUGGACUUAUAACCCACUUGGUAACAGUGUAAAUUUUUCUAUUAAUAUUAAGUUACUUAUGUUAUAAAUAUGUAUAUACCCUGUGCAUAUAUGAAAUUCUCUUGGUUGAAGCAAGGAAAGAAUUCAAUAUAUUUGUUGCGUUGAGGGACAUGUUUGUGUCCAAUUCACUCUUUCGAAUGUUUCCAAGUGUCUUGAAAGAAUGAAUUGGAAAACAUAUCUUUCAAAGCAACAAGUUAUUUUAUAUAUAAGUAAUAAAGUUAGCUUUUCUACAUGUAUUUCUUGCUAAGAAACUGCAUGCCAUUUCAAAUAAGUGUGC
rnacentral:lncRNA from 1 species